UAGCUUUUUCGAAGUUGUCGA
rnacentral:piRNA from 1 species